rnacentral:misc_RNA from 1 species
GAAAAUCUCUCAUCAAAUUAAUUUUUGGUGGAUGUUGAGUGCUGCUGCUAUCUAGCUCACUUUAAAUAUAUAAGUUCUUUCUACUAUUUGUUGGAUUGACUUGGUGUAAUAUCUUUUUCAUCAUCAAGGAAAGUAGCAAUACUUGCCAAUAAUAAUAGAAUAAGGACUCCUAAACAAUUGAUUUUAUUAUCAAUAAUUUAUUCAUUU